rnacentral:rRNA from 1 species
GGGCCGCGGUAAUCUGACCGUGCAAAGGUAGCAUAAUCGUUAGUUUUUUAAUUGGAAUCUUGUAUGAAUGAUUGGACAAAAGAAAAUCUGUCUUUAUAUUUUUUCUUGAAAUUAACUUUCAGGUGAAAAGGCUUGAAUAAGUUAAAAAGACGAUAAGACCCUAUAAAGCUUGAUAAAUCUAUAGUUAGUUUAGCUAAAUUAAUAAAUAAAAGCUAGAUGAUUAAUUUUAUUUUAUUGGGGCGAUGAUGGUAUAAUGAAUAUUAACUGCUAAAAACUUAGACAAAUAUAGAUGAUUGAGACUUUAGAUGAUCCUAAAAUUAAGAUUAAAAGUUUAAGUUACUUUAGGGAUAACAGCGUUAUUUUUCUUGAGAGUUCUUAUCGAAAGAAGAGUUUGCGACCUCGAUGUUGAAUUAAAGUUUCUAUACAAUUGUAGAAGU